GUUAAUGUAGUUUAAAAAACAUUUAACUAUAAUUAAAAUUGAUGGAAUGGUUUCUUCUUACUCCCAAGUGUUAAAAUUUUAUUAUUAUAGUAAAAACAAUAUUAGAAUUUUUACUAUAAUCUGAUCAAACAGUUUUCUAAUUAUUAUUUAUUACAUGCAAAGAAGAAAAAGUAUGGUUUCAAUUUUCAAGUUCUUUUAUGCUUUGGUUAUUUUUAUUUCUCUAUUAUUGGUUUUAAGCAACAGUGGUAAGUUACUAUUUUUAACCAUUUUCAACACUUUUUAUACAUACUCCAAUAUUUAACCACCUUAUUAAUGUGUGUGUGUGUUUUUUUUAACGUCGCAGCUCAGUAUCUUUUAACUCGAUCCCCUUCACCCCAAUUUCACUGUAUUGAUGAUAAUGAUUGUCCAUGGGAUAUGUGUCUUCAUAUUAGUCUAGAUCCAAUGUGCAUUGAUGAUGCUUGUGAGUGCUUGAUAGAUAUUUAACAAAAAUAAAUCUAUACUCCUUAUUGCUCGUAAGGAGCGUAUUAUUUUAUUUGUAAGGGAAGUUAAUAAAAAAUAAUUUUAAUUACUUUUAAACUUUUUAUUAUUUUUUAGAAGAAAAGACAACCGAAAUUCAAGGAUAAAAGAGUACAUAAUGAUUAACUUAGGAGUAAAAUUUUUAAUAUAAUCACUUAACAAAAGUUUUUAAUAUAACACUAUAACAUUUGAUAUAGUUUUUUUUUCCUGCAAGGAGUAAGAAGGAUAAUUACAAGACCUUCAAAUCUCCAUUAUCAUCUUCAAGUUAUUGCAGAGUUUGAGAUAAAGGAGGU